rnacentral:lncRNA from 1 species
GGAAGUGGGAGAGGCCUGGGAAGGAAACUUGGAAACCGAAAACUCGGCGGCCGAGGCUCCGUGCCCCGCGCGCAGCGCUGCUCCUGCCCCGGCCAAGGACGCACGGGCCAGCCGGCGGAACCAGAGGUUUUCAGUGAUGUUGAGAGUCAACAGGAAAUUAAUCAGCAAGUAGAAAAUUGAAAGAAGAUCUGCAUCUUACUGCAGGAGUCAUUAAAAUAAAAGCAGAUUUGGCAAAAUGGCAAGAACCAGAGGAUGAGGAUGUAAAACAAAAACUUUUGGAGUCAUUUUGCCACCAGGAUGAAAAUAGGAUGAAGCUGACAUGACAAAGGUGCAGGUGUUCUGAUAUGAGAAGAACUUCUUCAGAAGGUAUCUUAAUGCAUAUGGGGAAACUGAGGCCCAGUUGUCAUAGCCUUCUCCAGCAUGUGUUCCUUCUGUAUUUCAGACAUGGCAGAGGAGACACAGCAAUAACUAAGGGGCAACUAUUGCAUCCAGAAAAAAAAAAAAUGAAGAUAAUGACUUCUCUGCAACUAAGAUGAAGAUCCACUGAACUUUGGGGUUUGAAAUGCAACGUUAGAACUUCAGACUCCCGGCACCUAGGUCUCCAGCUGCUGGGUGGUGCCAGCAUCAGAGAUACACUCUGCAAAACAUAUACUGUCUUAGGAAAAAGUGACCCUGUUGUCCUUUCAGGCCCAUAUUCCACAAGAAGACAAAUGGAGAUGUAAAAGGAAAACUGCAGCUCCGACUGAAGAGAGAGCAAGUUGUCUGUUCUGAUACAGCCAGGAAAUAAGAUGUUCUGGUUAAUAUGUGCUAAAGAUGUGGUGCUGACUUUCCGACUCAGAAUAUGAUCACAUGUUUUUCUCAUUAAAACUAUAUUGAAUAUUA